UCAGAUUCUCCCACGAGCCCCUUGAGGUUGACGAGGCCAUGAUUAUAAAUUCCUUCUGUCACAAACGAAGAAACCAAGGCUUAGAGAGAUUGCACGGCACAGCUGAGACUGAAUUUCAAAUGUCUUGAUUCUCCGCAGAGUGACCUGUCCCCAUUCCAAUCUGGUCAUUUGGCAGGACUCUUGUUGCUGCGGGAGAAGAGUCCAAACAAAACAGAGGAUGGAUCCUGUCCACAUGCCCUUGACAUGUUCUGGGACAUGAUUCCCUGACACUCUCAUGUUAUGAAUUUCCUGAGGACUCUUCUGUGAUGACCUCUGUGUGCUUAACCAAUAUCGUAAGCAUCAAUUAUUUUGGAAUAAAACAAAAUAAAAUCAACCACAUAAAAAAACUUGUAUCAGAAAGCAUUUGGUACAGAGUUUGCUGGAAAAUUCCUCAUGUUUCAUGUCUCCUUUUUUUGAUCCCAUUUUUGAUUGACAGUGGAUGGAGGUGGCCAAUAUACCAGAGCGCCAUGAAGGGACAAAGAGCAUUUCUUGAAGAAACCUCAGCAGAGUGAUGGGUGAUCAUUUGGUCCGAUAACACCAAAGGCUGGAUGAAUUUACCCAGAGAGGACCGUAAUGAAAAUCUGAAAUAACCUUUAUAAUUUUCAAGUGAGGAAAUGAAGGCCAAACAUGAGAGGCUACAAUAAGAGUAUACUGGGCAUUGUGCCAAGAACAGGGGAUAUAAUGAUGAACAAGAAUCAGAUGCAAACAAAUAAGGGAUGAUCUGUGCUACUUUGAGGAAAAACUCAAAGCGACCAGGAAAGAAAGAAAAAUGAUGGAUCCGGGAGCAUGGUGGGUGUGUUGGGAGGUAGACAUACUUCAAAGAGGGACGUUACUAAGCAUACACAAAUGUUGUUGACCCAGCUUGGCCGACGCACCUAUCUGGAAGGUGACGGUAUAGCCAUUCAGGCAAUGUUUAUGUAUUUAUGCACACACAAAAAAAUGUUAUCUCUCUGCCUCACAGGUAUUUUAUAAACACAAGCAAUUCCUUCUGUGUAUCACUGCCAUGAUGCUGGAAACACUGCAUCGCCAGUAACCAGCAGAGAGCCUGGGACAUAGCAGGCAUGUGAUCAUGUUGAAUAACAACACUCACGAAUAAAUGAAAGGCACUUUUAGAACAAUAGGAUGUUGAAUUUAUGGUGUCAUAAAAUAAAUCAGUUCCACAUUUUG